AUGUUGACGUUUGGGUCUUACGCAACAGGAAUUUGUGAACCGUGUCAGGUCAGGAAUGAAGCAGCACUAAGCAAAAGCUCCUGUGUGCCGUAAGGCAACCUGGACUGAGUUAACUGUAAAGGUAACGCUUAUGGUGAGCAUUCGAAGCAGAAUGCACGG
rnacentral:SRP_RNA from 1 species